rnacentral:lncRNA from 1 species
UUUACAAAAGAUUAGUGGGAGUUAAUCAUGUUCCUAAAUUUGAAUAUAUAUAUAUAUAUAUAUAUGUACAUAUAUGAUAUAUUAAUUUUGGAAAUGAAAAGAAUACUUCUUCGUUAAAGUUAUGACUUUAAACAUUCUAUAACGAUAGAAUGUAUAUGGGAGACAUAGUCUAUAAACAUGGGAUGGAAAUCUAUAAUGAUAGAUUUCAAGAUAUAAUUGGAUUAUAUCAAGCCCUAAUGAUAGACAAAAGAUGCUAGGAAGCUUCUCAUAUGAUGAUAAACUUCAAUCAGAAUGACAACUCUAGUAAGACUAGGAAGUUGCUCUUCUCAAAGGGAACGUACCCUUUUGACUCCUAAAGAAACAUAAUGAAUACGCAGAAAGGUGAUUUACGUAUUUCAUAUUGUAUGAAAAACAUUGAUAUGAGUUGUACCAAGAUCGGUACAAGACGAUAUCAAUGCAAGCCCAGGAUCAGAACCAUGGCAACUGACCAUGGCAACUGUCAAGUGAGUCCUUAAGUAUUUAAGAAAUACUAAAGGAUAUAUUCCUCAAAGAAUGAGGAAGAAUCAGAGUAACGUAAUGGAAGCAUAAAUGUAUUAGAUUAAGAAUCUAAUCCAUCAUUGGAUAUUUCUUCAUUAUGAAUGAAGAGAUAAUCAGAUAUCUUUUUAUUAUGACUAAAGAGAUAUUUGGAUGGAAACAUUAAAAGUAUUGACUUUAGUGUGUUCCAUUGUGAAUGCAAAAUAUAUUGCCAUAUAGAAGCUUACAACAAUGUUGUUUGGAUGGGAAAGUUCAUUUAUGAACUCUCUAUUCGGUUCCAACCAGAAAGUGUCUCCAGUGUACCGACACUAUGAGACUAAUGGGGCAAUAGCUCAAGCCAGGGAAUUAAGGUCUCAUCAAGAUCCGAACUCAAAUGAGAGACUAAACCACAUGAUUAAGAAUCAUGUAUAAUGGUGACGUCGUUAUUCUCAAGGUUGCUUCUAUGGAUAACAUAUAGAUAUCCAUUGUCUAGGCCUACUACUUAGCCAUUUUGAAAUGACUACAGAAGAGGUAUCAUCAUUGAUGACCAAGCUGAUUGGCUCUAGUGCAAAUGGGAGAUUGUUGGAAAUGUGCCCUAAAACCAAUCAUAUGAUGAUACUUUACAACAUUUCACAUGUUAAACUAAUAUAGUUUAAUUUAAAGGGCAAAGAUUAUUGUUUGAAGCCAUCUCAUAUAAAUGUUAUAUGCUUAAACGAUAAGUCCAAGAAUAUGUAAUUGGGAGAAUGUGAUCUAAAGAAGUUAGAUUCAUGAGACCAUUCUCUUCCGUAUACAUAUCCUAAACGUUCCUGAUCAUAGGAUUGCCAAUUGGGCAUUGACAGUCCGUUAAGAUCAGUACGUGUUAUGUCUUCUCUUAGGGAGAGUGACUGAUCUCGAGUUAUUGGUGUGACUGACACCAAGACAAGCAUGUAGGUGCUCAAUAGAGAAUGAGUCCACUGAACACGAUCAACAAGGAGUUCUCAUACUCAAGUCACAUGAGAACUCAUGGUUGGGAUAAUGCAAAGUAGUCCUUUGACCUGAGGCAUCAUAGUUGUCUUGUGGUUAGGUCAUUGAUCUUUGACUAUGUCAAAGUCACUCCGUCAGAGGGUGUCCACGGCAUAGUUGAGGUUAAGCCACUUAGCCAUGGAGGCAAGUGAAUGCGUAACAAG